CUGAACCAAGAUAUUAGCUUUUGAAGGUUUGACAAGAUUCGUGCACUGGUUGUUCGAAGCUUAGACUCGCUUCACCAUUUUUAGAUUAAAUCAAAAUAUGGCUGAACCAUUCUAAUCUAGUUGAAUCUCGAGUAUCCAAUGCCAUUGAGAGUUGAUUAUGGUCUUCUUUUGUUAAAAAAAUAUCUAAUUAAUAGUUUAUAUAACAUUUCAGGCCUAAAGAAAGACCUACAAUAGGCAGAUUUAGCUCUUGCAUAAUGUAUGUUUAAUGAAUUUGAAAUCUAUUCAUUAAAUUUUUCAUUAUGUGAUGAAAACAUACCUUUUACAAUCGCCACACGUAUAUGAUGUUAAAAAUACAGAUAUUUCAAUAUCCUUUGAUAAUCACUAAGGCUAGGUUCCCACUAUCACGAUUCUCGCUACGAAUGAAAUCGUGGAGUAAUUGUGAUGAUUCUAUCAGGUCUUAUCAUAUAUUAAGGUCAGUCAUAGCAAUCGUGUUGACCGUAUCAAAACGUAUUCGAACAUAUCUGCACGAAGCAGAUUGUGGACUCAAUAGGGACCAUCCUAUCGUAACGCAAUGAACGACAGUAGAAACCUAGUAUUACCAUUAUUUCAAAUAAUGGUACAAGAUGAUGGAAAUACAUGUAUUUCAUAUCAAAUCUGUAUUUUUUUUAAGUUAUAAAAAGGUUUUGAGCUACACAUUACAUAUGGUAUUUCCUGUCACGCUCUUGACCUUUAACCCAAACAUUUAAUUGUCACUAAAUCAUUCAGACAUUUAUCUGCAAAUAGACUGCUAGAUUAGAUAUAAAUUAUUUAUAUUGUAUAUGAAAUUCAUAUUUGUAGAGUUUACUGUACUCCUGUCAUCAGGGUAGUAAUAUGCUGAUUAUGAUUUUUGUAUGGUUAACUGUAGGCUACUCCUGUCAUUGGAGUAAUAAUACGCUGAUUACGAUUUUAAGGUUUAUGUACAAUCUGAUUAAAACACAGAUCCUAUUUCGUGUCGUUUUUUUAUAGUUCAUAAUUUCGUUUUACUUGUCUUUAGUACACUAGUAUCUGGAGGAGUUGUUAUCAUUGACGUGUUCUGGAUGAUGUAAGGGAUUAGCCAAUGAAACGGUCUGUUUUAGACGUGAGGUGCAUGGAACUGUGGGUAACCCACUAGAAACAUCAACGCUGAUUGGUUAAACAAAUAUCUGACAUUGAUAUAGGGUUAAAAGCGGCUUGUAUGACCCCUGACGCGACCUGUUACUACAACUGGUCAGAUCUUCAUGUAGUAGAGACCAUCGAAAGUAUAAAAAAACAAAACGAAAUAUAGAUCUGUAUUUUAAUCAGAUUGAGAUUAUGUAUUACCAUUGUUUCAAUGGCAUUUAGUUAAUGAACUGGACAUACAGGUGACCAUUCUAUGGAAUACAAUUACUGCUUAUUACUAAGCAAGUUUCAACUAGGCUUCUCGAGGCAUUAUCAAGCAUUAUAAGCAGUAAUUGUAUUCCAUGGAAACGUGACCUGUAUAUAUAUAUAUAUUACCAAUGAUGCUUAACUUACACUAUAUAGAGCAUAAUAAUCCUUCUUAAUAUAUUUACAGUAUUGUAAACUAUGAGGCUUGCCAAAUUUAUUAUAACCUGUAAACUGUGCCAGAUAUACAUGUACAUGAAAAGGGGUCCUAGGUUAUUCAACUUACGAGGACCCUAUAAUUAUAAAUCUUCCAAAGAAUAAUGCAUUGGUAUUAAAAUUUAUUUAGAUGGCUAGGUUUGUGUAUGUAUAUAUUUAGGCAGUGUCUUUGAUCAGCCAAAAAAACCUGAAUGUCGAAAAAUAGGGAAAAUGCUGCUUGAUCAGCUAGAUUCAAUGGUUCUUUUGUGAAUCAAAGACACUGCUACUCUUAAUAAUUAAAUAUGUAACUUCUAAACAUUUCAUGAUAUAUCAAUAUGAAUUGUUUAAAAUGAUCUGAGCAUUUUGUAUAUAGUUUGUUUGUUAACAUAUUAUAGCCUCUCCUGAUACUAUUGUCCCCUUCCAGCCCCUCAAACCGCCAUAAGUCAAACCAAUACAUGUAGCUGUCAACUAUUUGUGGCUUAUAAAUCUUAGUACAAAGUCUUGAAUAUCCUUGAAUUUCGCGGAAAUAGGAAAAUAUCCUUGAAUUUCUGUUGAGAUCCUUAAUUUUGUUUCAAAUGUCUUCAAUUCCUUUUAAAUAUGAGAUUAUAACGAUAGUUGGUAAUGUUUUGGUUAUUUUUAAGAUGAAAAAUUGUAACAUUAGGCUAAAAAAAUGUCCAUGUGAAUCCUUGAAUUUGACGUAUAUUUAUCCUUGAAUAUCCUUGAAAAAAUGUUUGACGAAGCCGUGGGAACCCUGAUAGUAUGUUUUAACUUCAUGCUUCAAUUGGAAGUGGUUGGUUUAAAAUUAUAAAUUAAUGACAAUAUGUAUAAAGGGGCUUCCAUGAAUGACCAUAAUACAACACUGUAAUCCAGGUAUCAUUUAAUCUUGUGUAUUUAGCAUUAAUUUCUUUCACAUUUAUUCAAUAUCAAAUUUUGAGAUUUGAUAUUAAACAAAUGUGUAAGAAAUUAAUGCUAGAUACACAAGAUUAAAUGAUACCCAGGUUACAGUGUAGUAUGUUCAACUUCAUGCUUAGAUUGAUUGUGGUUGUUUUUUUAUGAAUUAAUACCAAUAUUUAUAAAGGGGCUUCAUUGAAUGACCAUAAUAGUUAUACAGUACGUUUAAUUUUACGCUUAUAUUGGUCGUUGUUGGUUUUUUAUAAAUGAAUACCAAUAUUUAUAAAGGGGCUUCCAGGAGUCAGUAAAAGUAUCAAACUGCUCCACUGUAGUAAUGUGAAAGGCUGAGCGAAAAUUUACUAUGAAUCAAUUUGUAAUGAUAUGUCAUUGUUGUUCAACAGAUAUGCAAGGGAAAUUGUUACCCAAAUAUUUAGUUUUUUUAUACUUUAAUAUAUUACUUUGUUAUUUAUACUGUUUGUUAUAAACUGUUUGUCAAUCAGAUUUAAACACAGAUCCUAUUUCAUUUCGUUUUUUAUACUUCAAAGUUUCGUUUUACUUGUCUUUACUACACUAGGAUCUGGAAGAUUUGUUAUAUAACCUGCGUUCUGGAUGGCGUGAGGAAUUAGCCAAUGAAGCCAUCAGGUUAGAUGACUUCUUGCGGUGCGAUGCACGGAACUGUGGGUAAACGACUAGAAACGCCAACGCUGAUUGAUUAAUCAGGGUAAAAAGUUGCUUUAUGACACCUGACGCGACCUCCCACUAUAACCGGUCAGAUCUUCGUGUAGUGUAGGCCAUCGAAAGUAUAAAAAAAAACGAAACGUAAUAAAGAUCUGUAUUUAAAUCAGAUUGGGUGUUUGUAUGAUAGAUGACAUAGGCCAAAACAUAAAAUACCUGCUUUAAUGGUUACUGGACCCUAUUUUAUUCUUAGCCAAAAUCACAGACCCUAAACUUUUUUCUCUCAUUUUCCAGACCCUAUAUAACUCGGUCUUGCCCAGAUUUUCUCUAAUCAAAUUCCAAUACUGAAAUUUCAGUAUUAUUCUAUUCAUUAUAAGACAUAUAGAAAUAGAUUUUACAAAUUAAAAACACUUAUAUGGAUAUACUACUUCUGAAUUUUAUUAACAUGUUAGUUUCAAUACACAUACAGGUAUCACACAUACAUGUAUCGUUAUCAAGCACAUGGGUAUGGUUAUUUGCUUGAUAACGAUAUCUGUAUGUGUAUCGAAACAUAGUAUGUUAGUAAAUUCAGAAGUAGUAUAUUCAGAAGUGUUUUUAAUUCAGUUUUAUUUUCAAGAACAAUACUCAGUAAUUAAACUAGAAAUGAUAAGAAACAGACAAUACAAACCUAACAAAAUAAAAAGAAAAAGAUUUUCCGACCCACCCUAUGUUUUUUUACAGCCAAGUUACCAGUUUUUUCUUGGCCUUAUAGGUAGUCAUGCUUGCAUUUGUAGAUAGAAUUUGAUUAUUUUUCUAAUGACUUAUAUUAUAGUGCUGGAAUAGAUCUGUUGACGAUUUCAUUAUUGUUUAUUUUACACCUAGAUAUUGAUUUCUGUUGCAUGCAUGUUUAAUUUUUCAAGCUGUCAUUCAGAUUUAUGUUGUAGGUUAGGUCAUCAUAUUUGGGGAUCCGCGCUGACUCAGUGAGUGAGUCGCAGUCAUGAAUUUGAUCCCGGUAUUGGCAGAGAGAAAGUUCUUGAGGAUUUUUCAGCGAUGUUUCCCCCCAUGUCUGUGAUGCAGGGUGGAGGGCCUGCAAGGAACAGGAUUCACUUGAUCUGAUUGAACGACAAACCAGGGUCCCAUGUGCCCCUUUGCGUGCACGUAAAAGAUCCCUUGUUAGUUGGAAUUCUAUGGAGUGUAGGCAGACACACCACUGUCCAGGCUAAAUUAUACUCAUAGCACACUGCAUGGUGUAUGCCCAUCUUCAUUAACCCAGAGGGGGGGGGGAGCUUUCUCGACUGACAUUAGGAUCGAGCCCGUGACCACCUUGUGAGCCAACAUGUUACUCACAGAACUCUCUGUAGAGAUACCCAGGCUGAUCAUCCAUAGGAUUUCUAUAAAGCACGGUUCUCACUUAAACUAUUUUACCAGUCAACCAUUGCCCGUUUGUGAGAGGGAGAUAAAUGUGGUUUAACAUUAACUCGACACAAACUAGGUCAUUUCGGGACCAACACAUGGUUCAAUUUUAUUUAUAUAAUUCGCUUGCGCGUAGUGGUCUUUAGCAUGACCCUGAGAAAACCCAUGAGGUUGGACAGGAGACCCUAGUCUUGUAACGUACAACCGGGGAUUCGAAACUCCGCCAGUUGACUCAAUGACAUACCGUAUGAUACAGCGUGCACGUGCUAACCAUUCGGCCACCCCUCCCCUCCCUUGCCAGUUUCUAUACAGUAUGUUAAUGUUAUAAUAUUAGUAUCUGAAAAUAUUCUCUUUAAAGAUGCAUUAUGUCAAUAAUGUCAAUAAAAAUUCAGACCAAUCUGUGCCAGACAAAGAUAAAAUCCAAAUUUUAGUAAUUUGAUUGGAUAAUAUUAGAUUGAUUUUAGUGCUUAGCCAAUCAAAAUUGAAGUAUCUACUAAAAUUUGGAUUUUAUCUCUUGUUAAAAUUUCGUGAAACAGGGCCCAGGGGGAUUGUGUUGAUAGCCAGACAUUGGUCAUGGCAGGUGUUUUAUUACUAGGCAUGUGUAUACUACUAACAAGUAGUUGGAUGAAAUUCAAAAAUCUAAUUUACUUAAUCAAAGCAGAAUUGUUCAAAGAACAAGCAUACAAAAUUUUAUGUCGAUCGGACUUGAAUUGAUGGAGCCUUAGACAUUUUUUAAGAGUGUUUCCCCCCCCCCCACCUCAAAAAACAAAUAAGUAUGCAUUCUAGUAGGUAAAUUAUAGUCAAGUGAAAGCCGUUGCAUGGUUUGUGAGACAAUCCCAAUCUGGUAGGACGAAAUCAAAUAAAAUGUCCCUGGUCAGAUCUAGUAGGACAAUGACUGGUAGAAGAGUCCAAGUGAGAUCGAGUCCUGGCAUGGUCUGUGAGACAAUCACAAUAUUCUCUGAGACAAUCUGGUAGGGUGAUGACUGGUAAAUUUUAAGUCAAGUGAGAGCCCUUGCAAGAUCUGUGCGACAAUCACAACCUGGUAGGGUGAUCACAGGUAAAAGAGUCCUGGCAUGGUCUGUGAGACAAUCACAAUUUGAUAGGGUAAUAACUGGUAAUUUAGCACAAGUGAGAGCCCUGGCAUGUUUUGUGAGCUUGUAGAAUUACAUCUAUAUAUAUAUAUUAUACAGUAUUGAGGGUUUAUGUUACUUGCUCACAUAUCUCCUACCGUAUACACAUUAAUUAUCAUUCAUUUAUCAUGGAUUUGUUUUUACGUUAAAUAUAUAUAUUGUGUUUCCUAUUACUAUAAAUAUAGUAUUAUAUAUUUAAGUUUGUAUUAAAAUAAACAUUUCACUCAG